GAAGUAGGUCUGACUAAUGAUUAUUUUUCUUUGUUUCUGAAACUAGACAGUAGAGAUCUGGGAAGCAACCUGGUGCACUGCCCAUAUUCAUGUCCACCCAAAUUCAAAUUGCAGAGCUGAGAUUCAACUGCCAACAUCCAUUGGCACUACCCAGAGACUGCACUUCCUCUGAUGAGUCAGUUAUUUAAGCUUGAUCUCAGUGGAAUGUUCUGCAUUUAAGAAUAAAAUCUCCAAGGCCUAGGUAUUCCAGAAACCUGUCUGGGUUAUUUGCUAAAAUAUUUUAACAAAAAGGAUAGUCAAUGAUGAAGCCAUGAGAGAAGCUAAUGUGAAACUCAAUUGUCCUUCUUUGGGUCAACCAUGGAUUUUCUCUCCCCCAGGGCACGUUUCCAGUCAGCUCAAGCUCAUCUCAGCAGUGUGGGGAAUUGGAAGAGACAGACAGAGAGCCAGGGAUCUGGGUUGUGCUUGCCUCUGCCAGGGAGUCCUGUGUCUUCCAGCAGCCUGUCUUUUCUAAUUGAGAUCAGGGAGAGGAAAUGCUGUGCUUCUCCAGCCUUCCGCCUCAUGAUGGCUUCUCACUUUCUUCUUGACACCAGAAAUCAACUUAAAAGACCAAACUGA
rnacentral:lncRNA from 1 species